CACGUAGGGCGCGAGCGUUGUCCGGAAUUAUUGGGCGUAAAGAGCUCGUAGGCGGCCUGUUGCGUCCGCUGUGAAAGCCCCGGGGCUUAACCCCGGGUCUGCAGUGGAUACGGGCAGGCUAGAGGUAGGUAGGGGAGAAUGGAAUUCCCGGUGUAGCGGUGAAAUGCGCAGAUAUCAGGAGGAACACCGAUGGCGAAGGCAGGUCUCUGGGCAUUAACUGACGCUGAGGAGCGAAAGCAUGGGGAGCGAACAGG
rnacentral:rRNA from 1 species